GCAUAUCAAUAAGCGGAGGAAAAGAAAGCAACAGCGAUAGCCCUAGUAACGGCGAGUGAAGCGGCUACAGCUCAAAUUUGAAAUCUGGCUCCCCCUGGGGGGUCCGAGUUGUAAUUUGCAGAGGAUGCUUUGGCAUUGGCGGCGGUCUAAGUUCCCUGGAACAGGACAUCGCAGAGGGUGAGAAUCCCGUACGUGGGCGCCUGCCUUUGCCGUGUAAAGCUCCUUCGACGAGUCGAGUUGUUUGGGAAUGCAGCUCUAAAUGGGAGGUAAAUUUCUCCUAAAGCUAAAUACCGGCCAGAGACCGAUAGCGCACAAGUAGAGUGAUCGAAAGAUGAAAAGUACUUUGGAAAGAGAGUAAAAUAGCACGUGAAAUUGUUGAAAGGGAAGCGCUUGCAGCCAGACUUGCCCGCAGUUGCUCACCCAGGCUCCCGCCUGGGGCACUCUUCUGCGGGCAGGCCAGCAUCAGUUUGGGCGGUCGGAUAAAGGCCUCUGUCACGUACCACCCCUCGGGGUGGCCUUAUAGGGGAGGCGCAAUGCGACCAGCCCGGACUGAGGUCCGCGCAUCUGCUAGGAUGCUGGCGUAAUGGCUGUAAGCGGCCCGUCUUGAAACACGGACCAAGGAGUCUAACAUCUAUGCGAGUGUUUGGGUGUCAAGCCCGGGCGCGCAAUGAAAGUGAACGGAGGUGGGAACCCCUCGGGGCGCACCAUCGACCGAUCCUGAUGUCUUCGGAUGGAUUUGAGUAAGAGCAUAGCUGUUGGGACCCGAAAGAUGGUGAACUAUGCUUGAAUAGGGUGAAGCCAGAGGAAACUCUGGUGGAGGCUCGCAGCGGUUCUGACGUGCAAAUCGAUCGUCAAAUUUGGGCAUAGGGGCGAAAGACUAAUCGAACCAUCUAGUAGCUGGUUCCUGCC
rnacentral:rRNA from 2 species